rnacentral:rRNA from 1 species
UACGAAGGGGGCUAACGUUGCUCGGAAUGACUGGGCGUAAAGGGCGCGUAGGCGGUUUGUACAGUCAGAUGUGAAAUUCCUGGGCUCAACCUGGGGGCUGCAUUUGAUACGUAUGGACUGGAGUGAGGAAGAGGGUCGUGGAAUUCCCAGUGUAGAGGUGAAAUUCGUAGAUAUUGGGAAGAACACCGGUGGCGAAGGCGGCGACCUGGUCCUUUACUGACGCUGAGGCGCGAAAGCGUGGGGAGCAAAC